UUCUUUCAUUUAUGGGGUAGGUGUCAAAGUCCUUCUUUCGUUCUUGCGUGAAAGUUAUGUGAUUUCCAUGUCUUACUUCUUAAAAAUUGUUAUAAUGAUUAGCGUAUGUUUAAACAUUUAGGCAUGUUUAGUAUCGCAUAAGUCGUUUACUGCUUGUUUAGUCAUAGGAGAGCAUGUGAUGUAUUUUUCUAUUUUUGUUUGGAGUCACUGUUAGUUCUAAAAGAAGGGAAAAUAUUAGUUUAUUCAUAUUUG
rnacentral:lncRNA from 1 species